GUGUCAGCCGCCGCGGUAAGACGAAGGGGGCUAGCGUUGUUCGGAAUUACUGGGCGUAAAGCGCACGUAGGCGGCUUUUCAAGUCAGAUGUGAAAGCCCCGGGCUUAACCCGGGAACAGCAUUUGAUACUGUCGAGCUUGAGACCGGGAGAGGAUAGCGGAAUUCCCAGUGUAGAGGUGAAAUUCGUAGAUAUUGGGAAGAACACCAGUGGCGAAGGCGGCUAUCUGGACCGGUACUGACGCUGAGGUGCGAAAGCGUGGGGAGCAAACAGGAUUAGAUACCCCAGUAGUCC
rnacentral:rRNA from 1 species